GAAAUGCGAUAAGUAAUGUGAAUUGCAGAAUUCAGUGAAUCAUCGAAUCUUUGAACGCACCUUGUGCUCCUUGGUAUUCCUUGGAGCAUGCCUGUUUGAGUAUCAUGAAAUCUUCAAAGUAAAUCUUUUGUUAACUCAAUUGGUUUCUACUUUGGUAUUGGAGGUCUUUGCAGCUUCACACCUGCUCCUCUUUGUUCAUUAGCUGGAUCUCAGUGUUAUGCUUGGUUCCACUCGGCGUGAUAAGUUAUCUAUCGCUGAGGACACUGUAAAAGGUGGCCAAGGUAAAUGCAGAUGAACCGCUUCUAAUAGUCCAUUGACUUGGACAAUACUUUUAUGAUCUGAUCUCAAAUCAGGUAGGACUACCCGCUGAACCUAAGC
rnacentral:misc_RNA from 1 species